GGCCGUGUGCCCGAGUGGUUCAGGGGUUCGCCUGCAAAGCGAAUGACACGGGUUCGAUUCCCGUCACGGCCUC
rnacentral:tRNA from 1 species